rnacentral:rRNA from 1 species
AUCAGAGAAUCUGAAAAAUGAAGAUCUUUCAAAAUUAUGAUAUCUUUCAAUUCAAAAUGAAGAUCACCUCCUUGAAACCACCAGAACCAUGACCAUGCUGAUCGGAUUACUCCAAAGCCUCCUACUCAUCACCCUCAACAGACAUAAUCUGAUAGGAGCACUACUAGCCAUCGAGACCAUACUGAUACUCAGCUACAGUAUAGCCGCGAGACAAGGAUCAGCCAGCAACAUGACCGAAGCCACAGGACUAGUGAUACUAGCCGUGAGCAUAGGCGCCAUUGAAGCAGCCAUCGGACUAGCUAUCAGUGCCGUAUACCGAAAUAUGAGAACCAACCUGAACCUCAGCCUGCAGACUCUACUCAUCGCCAAGUCUACCACGACGCCCGAUAACCACCUGCGAUCAGUAUAGACCAGUCAGACCUCUCAGAACACGAUUACUAUGACCUGCCGACCAAAUACAUCUACCCGACCAAUACUCGCCGCACCACCUAGGAAAGCCACGAAAAGCGCUGAAACAGGCAACCUCGGACCAGCAAACCGUGAAAAUGCGCCCUCAGAGACAACGAACAGUAUGAAAUUACGAGAAAUCAAGCACUAAGAACCCCCGACAAAGGCCAAAAAUAGACAACAUCCGACAUCAAAAUCAGGUAUCUAUGACCUCAAGCACAGCCUGCAGACCACUCACCAGCCAACUUUAGUAGGGAACAAUCAGCGAAUCUACUCAAAAUAGGACUCUCAGCACGAAAUCAGACACCAAAGACUAGCCGAUACAGGAACCGAGCACUGAAACCAGUAAAACCUUCGUGCCCGCAGGCAAAAUACGACUGCAACGACACGUAGUCAAGAAGCAGGAUGAAAAGCACCGUAUCAGCGAACAGAGACCAUCAGCCACAACCUGGGACCACUACUAAAUACCAGCCACCAAGACCAGCAAAAGGCCAGAAAGCAGCCUCAUCAGCACCGACUCAACCACCUUCGGCACCACUACUAGAGAUCAAUAGGGAAGAGCGAAAUCAAUUCAACCUGGAUCCGAGGGAAUAACCAGGGAGACCGAAGUCAAUCCGACUGGAUCGUCAUAUAGACUAACCAAGACCGAAUACAGAGCACCAAUAGGCCAAAUCAGCGAACAAUCACUACUAGAAGCAAUCUGAAAGACAGAACAUAGCCGAGAAACCGCAGUCCAGCCACCAACAAGACAUCUCAGCGGAACUAAUCCGGAGACUCCUCAACUCACAGCAAUGAAGCCUAAGCCCAUCACUACUCAGCCAGACCACCUGUGGAACAGUACUGAACAAACAGUCUGCCACUCUAUACCUAGCACCGAAUCAACCUCCUAAAGCCAAUCUGAAAGGACAGCAGACAAGAUAUACUCAGGAAGGCAAUAAUAUAGCCAAUACAGCAACCUGAGGACCCUCCAAAGCCAAAUACACAGCUAAUCACUACUAAAGCCACCCUCCUCAGCCCCAGAUCCUUGAGCUCGGUAGAGCGAAAUAGACACCGAGUUCGACACUUCGAGAC